CAAACGUGGAGCCAACUCCAGGACUGGUGUCAAGAUUUGCCAGGCAGCUUUCUGCCAGCCGUGGGCAUGUCCUCCCCCAAGCUGCUGAUCUGCUGGUCAGAUUAGGGGCACAUGCAUAUGGUGGCAGAGGCAGGGAAGAAUGAGCCACAUCAUUUCUGACAUGUGAGCACCAGAUCUGCGAGCAUAUGGCCUGGAAGCCUCUCCAGGAAUUUCACGGGACAUUUCAUGCAAGUUGAGACGGAGGCAUUCAGGAACCUGGAUCCAGAGAGAGAAAAAGAGAAAUUGCAGAAAAUAUUUCCCUUUGAAAUAUUCUCAUCAAAUGUGAUGGAGAAGAGUUAAUAUCUGUAAGGAGCUCACUGGAAUCAUUAAGAAAAAGGUGAAAACUCCAAAAGAAAACUGGAAAAUAACGUGAACUUAUGAUUCAUAAAAGAAGCACAAAUAACCAGUACACUUAAAAUGAAAUUUAUCCUUGCUGUUAAUAAACAAAUGCAAAUUAAAAUA
rnacentral:lncRNA from 1 species